AAUCAACGCUGGCGGCGUGCCUAACACAUGCAAGUCGAACGCGACUGAGGGCUUCGGCUCUCAGUUGAGUGGCGAACGGGUGAGUAACACGUGGGUGACCUACCUUCGAAUGGGGGAUAACGUCCCGAAAGGGACGCUAAUACCGCAUAACAUCCUGCCUUUGAACAGGUGGAGAUCAAAGCCGGGGAUCGUAAGACCUGGCGUUUGAAGAGGGGCCCGCGUCCGAUUAGCUGGUUGGUGGGGAACGGCUCACCAAGGCGACGACGGGUAGCCGGCCUGGGAGGGCGACCGGCCACACUGGGACUGAGACACGGCCCAGACUCCUACGGGAGGCAGCAGUGGGGAAUCUUGCGCAAUGGGCGAAAGCCUGACGCAGCGACGCCGCGUGAGGGAUGACGGCCU
rnacentral:rRNA from 1 species